GAGCACGUAGGUGGGUUUGUAAGUCAGAUGUGAAAGCCUUCUGUUCAACGGGAGAAUUGCAUCUGAAACUACAGACCUUGAGUAUAGGAGGGGAGAAUGGAACUUCUGGUGGAGCGGUGAAAUGCGUAGAUAUCAGAAGGAACGCCGGCGGCGAAAGCGAUUCUCUGGCCUAUUACUGACACUCAGUGUGCGAAAGCUAGGGGAGCAAACGGGAUUAGAUACCCCGGUAGUCCUAGCCGUAAACGAUGGGCACUAAGUAGAGGGGUUU
rnacentral:rRNA from 1 species